rnacentral:rRNA from 1 species
UACGUAGGGUGCAAGCGUUAAUCGGAAUUACUGGGUGUAAAGCGUGCGCAGGCGGUUUUGUAAGUCUGUCGUGAAAUCCCCGGGCUUAACCUGGGAAUGGCGAUGGAGACUGCAAGGCUAGAGUUUGGCAGAGGGGGGUAGAAUUCCACGUGUAGCAGUGAAAUGCGUAGAGAUGUGGAGGAACACCGAUGGCGAAGGCAGCCCCCUGGGUCAAAACUGACGCUCAUGCACGAAAGCGUGGGGAGCAAACAGG